rnacentral:rRNA from 1 species
AACGCGAAGAACCUUACCCAGGCUCGAAAUGUAAUGGACAUCGCCAGAGAUGGCGAGUUCCGCAAGGACUGUUAUAUAGGUGCUGCAUGGCUGUCGUCAGCUCGUGCCGUGAGGUGUUUGGUUAAGUCCAGCAACGAGCGCAACCCUUAUCAUUAGUUGCCAACACGCGAGGUGGGGACUCUAAUGAGACUGCCUAGGUUAACUAGGAGGAAGGUGAGGAUGACGUCAAGUCCGCAUGGCCUUUAUGUCUGGGGCUACACACGUGCUACAAUGGUCGGUACAGAAGGCAGCAAAGUCGUAAGAUGGAGCAAAUCCGUAAAGCCGAUCACAGUUCAGAUUGUAGUCUGCAACUCGACUACAUGAAGUUGGAAUUGCUAGUAAUGACGUGUCAGCAACAACGUCGUGAAUACGUUCCCGGGCCUUGUA